rnacentral:rRNA from 1 species
CUCGUGACUGCGUGCCUUUUGAAGAAUGAGCCUGCGAGUUUGCGGUGUGUUGCGAGGUUAACCCGUGUGGGGAAGCCGUAGCGAAAGCGAGUCCGAACAGGGCGUUUCAGUAGCAUGCUCAAGACCCGAAGCGGAGUGAUCUAGCCAUGGGCAGGUUGAAGCGGAGGUAAGACUUCGUGGAGGACCGAACCCACCAGGGUUGAAAACCUGGGGGAUGACCUGUGGUUAGGGGUGA